rnacentral:lncRNA from 1 species
ACAAAAAGACAUUUGAAUGGGUCAUAUUUACCAAUUAGAAGUAUAUACAAAAUGGUCAAAGUGGACUUAAAAUUUCAAUUCAAAAUAAGUAUUAUGAAAAGAAAGUUUAAAAAUCAAAAGCAUAAGGCUUAGGUUUCUAAUGUUGAAAACAAGAGUUAAAUGUUUGCACAAAAGUUUUGGCUUGGGUUAGAGUGGAGAGAAGAAGGAGAAGGGAUAAAGUCCUAAGCAAUGCAAAAAAGUGAGGGAAGA